rnacentral:lncRNA from 1 species
UUUAAGUGUACGUGAUAGAACAUAAUGAGAGAUAGAGUGUUUAGGUUUUUAUUAAAAGGGAAGAAAUCAAUUAGACAAGAAGUUUGACAGAUAAGAAAUGAAUUAGACAAUAAGUGCUAGGUGUUUUAAGUGUGACACAACAAGCAAUCAAUACCAACUACCAAGCAUUGAGUAAACACAAUGUCACUAAGCAGAGCCACCAAGCAUCAAAUUCAAUAGAACCAGUCAAUGUCACUAUCUCUUUUCAACUCAGCUUUUGCAAGUUCUCCAAUUAACCUCGCCAAAAGAUAAACAAAUCAAAAUCAAGCCAAACAUAGUUCUCCAAUCGACCAAUCUCAUCAAUCACAACUUAUCCAUAUGUAUUCACCUAAUCUAAAUCAUGAAACAUACCAAAUUCAACCAAACAACUAAUCAAAAACGGAUCAAAAUCAAGGUUAAAAUGAAUCAAUCUACCAUUGUUAAUGGAGACACAUCAAACAGAGAAACAUUAAAUGGGUCAAACCAAUAGAGAACACAUCAAAAAACAGAGAAAACUCUCCAUUUCUAAGGGAAACAUAGAACACAUCAAACGACAUCAUAAACCUCUAAUUUUGCAAACAUCAAUUCCCAUUUCUAAGAACCCUAAUUUUGCUAACAUCAAAUCCCCAAUUUCAGAAAAUCCUAAUUUCGACACCACAUCAAAUAACCCGAAUAUUACAUGAAAAACAAUCGAAAGCAGAGAUAUGCGUACCAUGGAAAACAGAUUGGAGCAUCCAAUAACCAAAUUCUUCAAUUUGGUGAACUCUCCGAUAUUUUGAUCCCGAUUUGGUGAACCAGAAAUCGUCGAUAGUCUCCAUCUUCGGUUGAAUGAUGAUGACGGCAGACGAAUGACUAAUUUCCGACUCAUAUCUCUUCUCAAUUCAUCGGAUCGAGCCGGAUUGAAGAGCUCUCGCAGUGCGUUUUUGGAUGUUGAGAAAGAGAGAGAGAAACACGAUGAACUGAGAAAAAA